rnacentral:misc_RNA from 1 species
GAAAUGCGAUACGUAGUGUGAAUUGCAGAAUUCAGUGAAUCAUCGAAUCUUUGAACGCACAUUGCUCCCUUUGGUAUUCCAAAGGGCAUGCCUGUUCGAGCGUCAUUUGUACCCUCAAGCUUUUCUUGGUGUUGGGCGUCUUUUUGUCUCUCCCCUUGUUGGGGGAGACUCGCCUUAAAACGAUUGGCAGCCGACCUACUGGUUUUCGGAGCGCAGCACAAAUUUGCUCCUUCCAAUCCACGGGGCGGCAUCCAGCAAGCCUUUGUUUUCUAUAACAAAUCCACAUUUUGACCUCGGAUCAGGUAGGGAUACCCGCUGAACUUAAGC